UACGUAGGCAGCAAGCGUUGUUCGGAGUUACUGGGCGUAAAGGGUGUGUAGGCGGUGCUCUAAGUUCGGUGUGAAAUCUCCCGGCUCAACCGGGAGGGUGCGCCGAAUACUGGAGUGCUCGAGCGCGGGAGAGGAAAGCGGAAUUCCUGGUGUAGCGGUGAAAUGCGUAGAUAUCAGGAGGAACACCGGUGGUGAAGGCGGCUUUCUGGAACGCUGUUGACGAUGAGACUUGAAAGCGUGGGGAGCAAACAGG
rnacentral:rRNA from 1 species